rnacentral:rRNA from 1 species
UACGUAGGGCGCGAGCGUUGUCCGGAUUUAUUGGGCGUAAAGGGCUUGUAGGCGGCUUGUCGCGUCGGAUGUGAAAACCCGUGGCUCAACUGCGGGCCUGCAUUCGAUACGGGCUGGCUAGAGUACGGCAGGGGAGACUGGAAUUCCUGGUGUAGCGGUGGAAUGCGCAGAUAUCAGGAGGAACACCGGUGGCGAAGGCGGGUCUCUGGGCCGAUACUGACGCUGAGGAGCGAAAGCGUGGGGAGCGAACAGG